rnacentral:rRNA from 1 species
CCUACGGGGGGCAGCAGUGGGGAAUAUUGCACAAUGGGCGCAAGCCUGAUGCAGCCAUGCCGCGUGUAUGAAGAAGGCCUUCGGGUUGUAAAGUACUUUCAGCGAGGAGGAAGGCGUUAAGGUUAAUAACCUUAGCGAUUGACGUUACUCGCAGAAGAAGCACCGGCUAACUCCGUGCCAGCAGCCGCGGUAAUACGGAGGGUGCAAGCGUUAAUCGGAAUUACUGGGCGUAAAGCGCACGCAGGCGGUCUGUCAAGUCGGAUGUGAAAUCCCCGGGCUCAACCUGGGAACUGCAUUCGAAACUGGCAGGCUAAAGUCUUGUAGAGGGGGGUAGAAUUCCAGGUGUAGCGGUGAAAUGCGUAGAGAUCUGGAGGAAUACCGGUGGCGAAGGCGGCCCCCUGGACAAAGGCUGACGCUCAGGUGCGAAAGCGUGGGGAGCAAACAGGAUUAGAUACCCCAGUAGUC